AGGAUGAACGCUGGCGGCGUGCCUAAUACAUGCAAGUCGAGCGAAUGGAUUAAGAGCUUGCUCUUAUGAAGUUAGCGGCGGACGGGUGAGUAACACGUGGGUAACCUGCCCAUAAGACUGGGAUAACUCCGGGAAACCGGGGCUAAUACCGGAUAACAUUUUGAACCGCAUGGUUCGAAAUUGAAAGGCGGCUUCGGCUGUCACUUAUGGAUGGACCCGCGUCGCAUUAGCUAGUUGGUGAGGUAACGGCUCACCAAGGCAACGAUGCGUAGCCGACCUGAGAGGGUGAUCGGCCACA
rnacentral:rRNA from 1 species